CGACCGGCGCACGGGUGCGUAACGCGUAUGCAACCUACCUUUAACAGGGGGAGUAACACUGAGAAAUUGGUACUAAUACCCCAUAAUAUCAUAGAAGGCAUCUUUUAUGGUUGAAAAUUCCGAUGGUUAGAGAUGGGCAUGCGUUGUAUUAGCUAGUUGGUGAGGUAACGGCUCACCAAGGCAACGAUACAUAGGGGGACUGAGAGGUUAACCCCCCACAUUGGUACUGAGACACGGACCAA
rnacentral:rRNA from 1 species